UUGGAGAAAAACAAUUUAUAAAAAAAAGUUAGACCCGGAAAAAAAAACUUCGCAGAUCUCUUCUCCUCUCUAUCGUUGAUGUCUGAUCUACUCUUCCACCUCUCCGCCGCUAUGGCUGAACCGCGCUCCCCCACCCUCAUACUCCUCGUCCACCUCCUCUGUCUCUCUUUUAUUCGACCCAGCUCACCCAAACCCUACAUCACUUUCAAUCGAAUCUACAUGCUUCUCUUGCAUAUAAGACUAGAAUUGAAAAUUCAUUCUCUUCGUGAUUUCAACAAGUCUAAAUGAAUUCAAUGUGGCAACGUCUCUCGUUUUGUGUAGCCUCUUUCUCUCUUGCGCUGGUGAAUUAUAUUCGUGAGGUUUUAAUCUGAUAAGGGGUUAAUUUAGGGUUUAUAAGUUUCGGGUUUGAAUUUGGAGUUGUUUAAUCUUUCUUUUUUUGAAUUUUGCUGGAUUUGUGAAUUUCUUUAUGGGGUUUGGAUUAUGUUUGAACUAUUAUUCUGCUUAUAUUUCAUUUUGUAUUUUGUUUAAUCGCUCACAAAUUUAGCUUAUAGAUGACUUAAUUAUAUGUUAGUUAGCAUAUCUUUUGAUUUUGUUUCUCCGUCUCGGGUGAAUUAGGAAUAGAGACAUCAAUUAGGAAUAGGUUUAUUUUUGUCAUUCUGUUUUAAGAUUUUGUGUUUUGCUAUUUUUGAGAGGUUGACUUUUGGUUUGUUUGUCUUCUCGAUUUCCUAUCCCUUUUAUCUCGAUCUCCAAUCUCAUAUUGAAAUUGUUAUCAAAUUAUGUGUUUCGGAUGAGAUGAAUUCCAAAGCGCUUUUUUGAUUCUUAGAAUUUGAGCAGACAAUAACUGAUAAUCUGAAUUCAUUGGAUGUUGGAACAAAACAUUCAUAAUUGGUCUUUGUUGCAAAUAGUGUAUUCGAUUUUAACGAGAAAAAGUAAAUUAAACAUUCAUUUUUGGUCUUUGUUAAACUUUUCUUAAAUUGGCAAGUAAGAAAAAUUUGCAGGUCUGCUAAAGCUUUGUAGUUUAGCUGUGCUUGUUUGUUUUUAGCUGCUAAAGUUGAAGAGAUAUCCGUUUCUCUCUCAGGAACCACGGGAAGAGUCUAAGCCUCUCUCACAUGCGUUAAGAGAAGACAGAACAUCCUAGGUGCGUUUAUGAGCAGUUCCACUGUCCUAAAAGCUGGAAUCAAUCACAAAGUUAUUAAUUUUAUAGUCUCUUAUUUGUAACUUUAUAAUCAAACUGGUGUGUCGUUUCCUCUUCUAAACACACUAGUUUGAAUUUCAUUCAACCUAUGAAUUUUGUGAAUGAUGUAACCUAAACACAAUAACGAUAUUGCUCCCCCAUGUAAGUGUUUUCUACAACUCUCUAUUCUUUCCAUGUAUAUAUAUUUUUGUUGUUGUUUCCUCAUCUGUGUUGUUUAACUGUGUUCUUACAAAUGUUUUUGGGUCUAGGAAGUUGGUACUUUUGGGACUGUAAGUCAUCCUUAAGUAUUGUGGUGAGACUGAGUUUCUCGAUAAACUGGAGAUGGUGAGUAUUGGCUGCAAGAAAGGUCAAGUUCAGUUUAUUUCAGUUUUCAGUGGAUGAUAUUCACAGGCAAUUCAAGUGCUCAUGGUAGAGUUGGUGCCACCGCUGCCGACUGCUGCUUCAAUCCUUGAGUACUUGACUGCAGAGGUUCUUGAGUUAGCUGGAAACGCUAGCAAAGAUCUGAAAGUGAAGAGUAUAACUCCAUGGCAUUUGCAGUUGGCCAUCAGAGGAAUGUGGGAAUGAAAAGAAUGAUAAGUUUAGGACAUGAUUUUGUGUUUUAUUUAUGACUUGGUUUGAUGGUUACAUGUUCUCUUCUAGAGUUCAUGUUUGUAAUGUGUUCACUUUGUAUGAUUUUCUUUAAUGGAAAAGAAUUUGUAAUUUAUGAUUU